AAUCGAACCCGGAGAUAGCUGGUUCUCCUCGAAAUAGCUUUAGGGCUAGCCUCAUGGAUCAUUGAUGGGGGUAGAGCACUGAAUGUGCGCGGGGGCCACAAAGCCUACCAAACGCUAUCAAACUUCGAAUACCAUACAAUGCAGACCAUGGGAGUCAGUCCGCGAGAGAUAAGUUCCGCGGGCAAAAGGGGAACACCCCAGAUCAACCGCUAAGGUCCCCAAGUUCACGUUAAGUGGAGAAGGAUGUGGAAUUGCACAGACAACCAGGAUGUUGGCUCAGAAGCAGCCACACAUUUAAAGAGUGCGUAAUAGCUCACUGGUCGAGUGAUUGUGCGCCGAAGAUGUCCGGGGCUAAACGUGACACCGAAGCGAUGGGUGCAUCUGAAAGGAUGCGCGGUAGAGGAGCAAUGUGCAGAGGCAGAAGCCGUAUCGAGAGGCACGGUGGACACUGCACAAGAGAGAAUGCCGGUAUGAGUAGCGAGAGGCAUGCGAGAAACAUGCCCGUCGAAAGCCCAAGGUUUCCUGGGGAAGGUUCAUCCGCCCAGGGUAAGUCGGGGCCUAAGCCGAGGACGGAAGUCGUAGGCGAUGGACAGCAGGUGUAGAUUCCUGCACUACCGAUGGAAUGAAGCAGUGACACAGAAGGAUAACUCGAGCAGGGUGAUGGUCAACCCUGUGCAAGCAUCAAGGUUGGGUUGUAGUGAAGUACGCAAUCCUAUAAGCUGAGGUGUGAUGCGGACCGAAAUUUCAGUAGGGAAGCGAGUGAGUUCACGCUGGCGAGAAAAGCUGCUAGUACAUCCAAAGGUACCCGUACCGGAAACCGACGCAGGUGGGCGAGGAGAGAAUCCUGAGACGAACGGGAGAACCCUUGUUAAGGAACUCGGCAAAAUGACCCCGUAACUUCGGGAUAAGGGGUGCCUGCGAGAGCAGGCCGCAGAGAAUAGUCACAAGCGACUGUUUAGCAAAAACACAGGUAUCUGCGAAAGCGAGAGCUGACGUAUAGGUGCUGACACCUGCCCGGUGCUGGAAGGUUAAGGGAACAUGUUAGAGCAAUCGAAGCAUCGAACCGAAGCCCCAGUAAACGGCGGCCGUAACUAUAACGGUCCUAAGGUAGCGAAAUUCCUUGUCGGGUAAGUUCCGACCCGCACGAAUGGUGUAACGACUUGUGAGCUGUCUCAACAGGGGGCCCGGUGAAAUUGAAGUAUGGGUGAAGAUGCCCAUUACCCGCGACUGGACGGAGAGACCCCGUAGAGCUUUACUGCAGCCUGAUAUUGAGUUUCGGUAACUGAUGCACAGGAUAGGUGGGAGUCUGAGAGACAUGGGUUUCGGCUCGUGUGGAGACGCUGUUGGGAUACCACUCUUCGGUUACUGAAAUUCUAACAUAGCUCUGUGAAACCAGAGGAUGGACAGUGUCAGGUGGACAGUUUGACUGGGGCGGUCGCCUCCGAAAGAGUAACGGAGGCGCCCAAAGGUACCCUCAGAAUGGAUGGAAACCAUUCGAAGAGCGCAAAGGCAGAAGGGUGCCUGACUGCGAGAGUGACAACUCGAGCAGAGACGAAAGUCGGGCUUAGUGAUCCGGCGGUAUUGAGUGGAAAAGCCGUCGCUUAACGGAUAAAAGCUACCUCGGGGAUAACAGGCUGAUCUCCCCCAAGAGUCCACAUCGACGGGGAGGUUUGGCACCUCGAUGUCGGCUCGUCGCAUCCUGGGGCUGAAGCAGGUCCCAAGGGUUUGGCUGUUCGCCAAUUAAAGCGGCACGCGAGCUGGGUUCAGAACGUCGUGAGACAGUUCGGUCCCUAUCCAUCGUGGGCGUAGGAGUCAUGAGAGGAGCUGUUCCUAGUACGAGAGGACCGGAAUGGACGCACCACUGGUGCAACUGUUGUCGUGCCAACGGCAUAGCAGGGAAGCGAAGUGCGGAUGGGAUAAACGCUGAAGGCAUCUAAGCGUGAAGCCCACCUCAAGAAUAAGACUCCACAAUAGACCCCUGGAGGACUACCAGGUAGAUAGGUCAUCGGUGGAAGCGCCGUAAGGCGUGU
rnacentral:rRNA from 1 species